GAAUGUGUCCUUAAACAUUACACUGUAUUCAUGGAUAGACCCUGGGACUCUAAUGCUCUCCACAUAUAUUUUCUUUUCUUUUCUUUUUUUUUUUACAUUUUCUAUUUCUAGAGAGGAGUACUGAAAUCCCCGUGGGGCAUUUUGGCAUCUACUGGAGCAAGAACAGCUGAUAAUUCCUGAUCUCUUGUGUCCUCCUGAGGUUGAGGAGCUAGUUGUCGCCCAGUGACCCAUGGUGCUGGGAAGGACAGAUGAAUCCCUUUACUGUCCAGCUAAUGCCCGCAGUGACAGGCCAGCAUGGUGCAGAAGAUGGGGACCCUCUUCUGUGACCCUGACUCCAUUGGCUGGUGAGCUGGCGGGUAAGUUUGCUCUCGAAGCCCCUAGAUGAUACCUCUGUUCUGGUUCAUCCUACUUCCCCUGCUUCCCACUCAAAUAGGGGAGUGAGGGUCUACUCAGGGUGAAACACGUGGAGUCUGGAAUAUUAGGCCCGGUCCUCUUACUCAGCAGGCUCCAGCCAAAUCCAAACCCCAAAGACUGGCCACUCUGGGUCAGGGCUGGGGUAUCAGAAGACAGGUUUACUCUGGCAGGGAAUAUCUUGCUGGCAACCAACUCAGACAUCGGUGGCCCAAACAAGUGAUCCUAGAAGAGAGAGGGACGCCCAGAUCCAGCCUGGCCUGGUGAGAAGCUCACCAGAGCACAAGGCCCUGAUAAAGCUAAUUUAAGUUUCUGUUUCAUCUUCCACACCAGGCCUUCUAAACAUCAGCCAGACAUGUUCAUGUCUCUGCCCCACCCAUUCUCUUGGGGGAUGGCACAAGAUUAGUAAAGAUGCAAAAGGUCAGCAACAGAAGCUGAGAAGUUGAGAAGUCUUGGAAAAGGGACCCUUUCCUACACUCUCACUGGAGGUGGAAAUCAGCUUAACCCAAGAGGAAUGCAGUUUAGCAAUCGACAGCAAUAUUUAAACUGUGCACACCCCUUUACACAGCGGCCCGAGUUCCAGGAAUAUACCCACAAUGACGUAAAUAUAAAGAAAUCCACUGAACAUUAUCCUUCUUAACAGUUAAAAACAACCUAAAUGGCAGUAGGGAAAGAGCUAAGAAUGUCAGUAAUAGUGGGCUGAUUAGAUAGCCCCUGAAAAAGGUACAUAGAUCUGUAUUCUGCAACACAGAAAAAGUCUAGAAAAAAGGUGGAAAAAAGGUACAAAAUAACUUGUAGAGUGUACAAAAUAAUAUGCAUACUAUAUUCUAUUUUAAAGAAGAUUUUAGUUAUUUGAGAGAGAGCACGAGGGGAGUGGGGGAGCAGAGAGAGAAGCAGACUCCCCGCUGAGCAGGGAGCCCGAUAUGGGGCAUAAUCAGGACCCCAGGAUCAUGACCUGAGCUGAAGGCAGCUGCUUAGCCGACUGAGCCACCCAGACGCCCUAUUCUAAUAUAUACCUAUAUAUAUAAAAAAGUGCACAAAUAAUAGGGACACAUGUAAUCUGCCUACAGAAACAUCUAGUAGGAUAUGAACCACAAUGUUAAUAGUAGGCAGUAUAUAACAGUAUGCAGCAUAGAACAGUAAGAACAUACCACAGGGGCAGCCCCGGUGGUCCAGCAGUUUAGCUCUGCCUGCAGCCCGGGGUGUGAUCCUGGAGACCCAGGAUCAAGUCCUACGUCGGGCUCGCUGCAUGGAGCCUGCUUCUCCCUCUGCCUGUGUCUCGUCUCUGCCUCUCUCUCUCUCUCUUUCUCUGAAUAAAUAAAUAAAUAAAUCUUUAAAAAAAUGUUAA
rnacentral:lncRNA from 12 species